rnacentral:misc_RNA from 1 species
GAUGAAGAACGUAGCGAAAUGCGAUACUUGGUGUGAAUUGCAGAAUCCCGUGAACCAUCGAGUCUUUGAACGCAAGUUGCGCCUCAAGCCAUUAGGUUGAGGGCACGUCUGCCUGGGCGUCACAUAUCGUUGCCUGAUGCCAGUUUCCUCGUGAUGGGUGACUGUGCAGGGCGAAUGAUGGCUUCCCGUGAGCAUUGUUGCCUCAUGGUUGGUUGAAAAUUGAGUCCUGGGGAGGGAGCGCCGUGAUAGAUGGUGGUUGAGUGACGAACGAGACCCAAUCAUGUGAGACCCCUACCGAAUUUGGCCUUCAUGACCCACAUGCGUCUUUGGAACGCUCAUGACGAGACCUCAGGUCAGGCGGGGCUACCCGCUGAGUUUAAGCAUAUCAAUAAGCGGAGGA